rnacentral:rRNA from 1 species
UACAGAGGUCUCAAGCGUUGUUCGGAUUCAUUGGGCGUAAAGGGUGCGUAGGCGGCGCGGUAAGUCGGGUGUGAAAUUUCGAGGCUUAACUUCGAAACUGCAUUCGAUACUGCCGUGCUUGAGGACUGGAGAGGAGACUGGAAUUUACGGUGUAGCGGUGAAAUGCGUAGAUAUCGUAAGGAAGACCAGUGGCGAAGGCGGUUCUCUGGGCCUUACCUGACACUGAGGAGCGAAAGCGUGGGGAGCGAACAGG